rnacentral:misc_RNA from 1 species
GAAAUGCGAUAAUUAAUGUGAAUUGCAGAAUUCAGUGAAUCAUCGAGUCUUUGAACGCACAUUGCGCCCCCUGGUAUCCCGGGGGGCAUGCCUGUCCGAGCGUCAUUGCUGCCCUCAAGCACGGCUUGUGUGUUGGGCUUCCGUCCCUGGCAACGGGGACGGGCCCAAAAGGCAGUGGCGGCACCAUGUCUGGUCCUCGAGCGUAUGGGGCUUUGUCACCCGCUCCCGUAGGUCCAGCUGGCAGCUAGCCUCGCAACCAAUCUUUUUAACCAGGUUGACCUCGGAUCAGGUAGGGAUACCCGCUGAACUUAAGC